GCCAAUCAAGGAUGGACCCGUAUUAACCCCCUCCUCUCUGAAGAAUUUUGUGGUUUUUGCCUUCAAAAGCUAACCUCCCCAAGAAAGUAUUGCGCCGAGAAGUAAGCCUUGCUAUUGCAUUCUGGACAUCUUUGGUCUACAGUGGUCUCUUUGGAGGUCCUAAUCUGGGCAGAACAACCAGAAUUCUCGGCAAGCCUGCGUGGGCUACAUGUUUCUCUAAAAGUUGGAGUUGGCUUUUCACCUAUGAUGGGAUACACCUUCAUGUUGCCUGGCCAGGGUUCCCAGGUGCCUGAGAGAGAAGAAAAUGGGAAAAAGGGAUCCCUGGCUUCCUUGGAGGCCAGUGUUAGAAAGGAGUCUCUAGGACCAUGGUAUGAAGGGAUCCAUCUCAGACGCCCACCAGAAAUGUCUACUGAUUCCACUGUUGAUUCUUAUCUUGGUAUUAAUCAUUUUCUUCUCCUUAAAGCCCCUCUUUCCAUAUAUAUUUUGGGAACUCAAAACUUACUCUGACUCUAACCCUUUUUUCUGGCCUGUACCAGAUUCCCUCAUGGAAAAAAGGACAGAUGGCCUCAGUAGCUGUUGGACCUUGAGGACUCUGGGUCAAGUGACAGAGCCCUAGGCUUGUCUUCUUUAUUUGAGCAUCAGAUCUAAAAAGAAUUAAGCAGCCUCUGCAGAGUAGUGGUCACUUAACCUUGCCUUAAGAUCCUGUUUAUGGGCACCACCCCUUCCCUAAGGUUAUAAAUGGCUAGUAAAGGAGACCUUAGGAAUGUUGCUUAGCUUCUUCAUGGUGGUCAUGAAUUUUACAGAGUUCUGUACCGAGCCUGUUCCCAUGGACCUGUGGUCCCAGCAUCUGCUGUUAGGAAAUUGGAUGUAGUCCUCUUCCUGUGGGUUUCAUCUGGAUAAGACCACCUGUUCUUCCGGACACUUCAUGUGCCACCAAAGAAGAAACAAGUCCCUGGCCUCUGAGGUCCCGGAGCUGAGGAGGCUCCAUUCUCUGGCUGGGAUGUGUCAGCGAUGGCAGGAGGAGAGAAUGAGAUGAAGUAGGAAGAAGGUUUAGAGGAAAACAGGGAAAAGUUUCUCUUCCCCAAGAUGGCAAAGGACUAGCAUGUUGGGAGGAACAGAAUAAAACUUUUAAAGCGGCCAGCUGCCCAAACGUCCAUCUCUGCAGACAGAACGUUUUCCUCCAGCUUGUUUACAGAGUCCCUUGUCCUCUCCCCAGUGACUCCGAUACUCCGUUAGUACCCACGAAAUAGAAAUGGUUCCUGAGGGGUCAGAAGUGGGUGGCAAACAAAACAGUUAUUCUGUGCGCGUGUGCUCCAAUCACGUGGUUCCUCACCCUACCAGCUCCGAACUGCCUUGUUCAGAUGAAUGACAAAGGGACCCUGCAGUAAAAAUUGGCCACACCGGCUCCGAAAAUGAGAACUUAGUAACAUACUACGAGGGAGGAGAAAACUGGGAUCUGGGAUGCUUGGCUUCCCUCAAUAUGCAGAAUGUGCCUCUGCUCCCAGUCCAUCUUGAGACCUUUGAGGCAUUAAAUAAACCCACCGCGUUUGCGGUUGGUUCUGAAGGUGGCCAAGCUCCAAGCAAGGGAAAGAGUACCUGCGAGGCGGAAGAAUCACCACAAGGAGACGCUUCGGAGCCGAGUAGCGAGGUGCAGUCUGCGAGGUCCUGCAGGUCUAUGGUGGUGAGGGCUGCGCGGGGAGAUCGGGAGACACGCGCCCAGAGAACUCUAAGCCUCUCUGCCAGGUCGCCGCCAGGACCCUCAACCAGGACCUGGGAGCCCGGGGCAGAGGGGCUGCGGACCGCGUGCGCCGCACCUACCCCUGGCAUGGAUCAUCUAGGGGUCGCGCAGGUGCCUCGGGGCUCACCUGGCAGUGCAGCCGGCUCCGCGUCCGGGGGAUCCUCGAACACCGACACUGGGCUGUCGCCGCUGCAUCCCGAGAAGGACUUCCACGGAGGAGCGAACUAGUGGAGCACAGAAAAGGAGAACUCAGGUCCCCGUUCGGGGCGCGGGGCUAGCAGGCUCUGCCAGAGCCAAGGCGGUAGCGAGCAUCCCCACCUUCCUCUCCGGCUUCCCGGGCUUGCCGAGGG